rnacentral:rRNA from 1 species
AGAGUUUGAUCAUGGCUCAGGACGAACGCUGGCGGCGUGCCUAACACAUGCAAGUCGAGCGGGGUUUUCUUUAGCACUGAGUACUCUUAAACGUUGGUAGUAGGCAGCGUUUAUGCAGAAACGACCUUAAAAAUCAGAUGGAGGUUUCUGCAUUACGCGUUAAACAGUGCCAACACAGGAUAUGAGAGUAUUGAGUGCUAAAGAAAACCUAGCGGCGGACGGGUGAGUAACGCGUGAGCAACCUGCCUUGCACAGGGGGAUAACAACCGGAAACGGUUGCUAAUACCGCAUGAGACCCCACUAUCGCAUGAUAGAGAGGUUAAAGGGCUUACCGGUGCAAGAUGGGCUCGCGUCCCAUUAGCUAGUUGGUAGGGUAACGGCCUACCAAGGCGACGAUGGGUAGCCGACCUGAGAGGGUGAUCGGCCACACUGGGACUGAGACACGGCCCAGACUCCUACGGGAGGCAGCAGUGGGGAAUAUUGCGCAAUGGGGCGAACCCUGACGCAGCAACGCCGCGUGAGUGAAGAAGGUUUUCGGAUCGUAAAGCUCUGUCAUUGGGGACGAAGGAGUGACGGUACCCAAGGAGGAAGCCCCGGCUAACUACGUGCCAGCAGCCGCGGUAAU